CAAAAAAACAGGCACAAGUUCAGGGCUCAUUUAUUCAUUCAAGUUCAUCCAAAUCUGCUGCAGCACAGCAUAAAGUUCAGACGCAGCCAGAUAUAACGCUAGACCACAACACGGUAGCAACAAAGAACAAGACCAGACGAGGACACGCUGACAAUCACAACGGAGUACACAAAAAGACAACCGACUCGUGAGCCCAGAGACAUAAGCAGCUCCAUGGCCAGGCACUUACUGGCCACCACGGAGGCGGAGCACCAAGUGAAGGGUGGACUCCUUCUGGAUGUUGUAGUCCGCCAGAGUGCGGCCAUCCUCGAGCUGCUUACCAGCAAAGAUGAGGCGCUGCUGGUCCGGUGGGAUACCCUCCUUGUCCUGGAUCUUCGCCUUCACAUUGUCGAUGGUGUCUGAAGACUCGACCUCGAGCGUGAUGGUCUUGCCGGUGAGGGUCUUCACAAAGAUCUGCAUACCACCCCUGAGACGGAGCACCAGGUGGAGGGUGGACUCCUUCUGGAUGUUGUAGUCAGCAAGGGUGCGACCGUCCUCAAGCUGCUUGCCAGCGAAGAUGAGGCGCUGCUGGUCCGGAGGGAUGCCCUCCUUGUCCUGGAUCUUCGCCUUGACGUUGUCGAUCGUGUCAGAGGACUCGACCUCAAGGGUGAUGGUCUUGCCGGUGAGGGUCUUCACAAAGAUCUGCAUCUGCAAACAUAAAGUGUACCAAAACCAUAAUAAGGCACUCGUAAUCAUGAAACUGCAGAACAUAAAGCAUAUAUGAACCAGAAGGCCAUGAUCCAAGAGAGACGAAAUUGUAACUAUGUCUUGAACUAUUAGAUAGCAGAUUGAUGUUCAAGUUUGACCACAAGCUAAAAAGAUCAGUUAAUAUAUAUGAUUUUCAGACAAGAGCUGAUGCACAAGUACAGAUACCUUCAAGUUUUGACACAACAAGAUACAAUAUCAGUUAAAUCAACAGUACUACUGUAAGCAAACACAAUUGACUCUUAAGAGCAGAACCGGUGCACAAGAACGGAUCCUCCAAACAACUACUAGGCCCAACAACUAACAUAGGAACCAGUUUUGCUAAAGCAUAUCUAGGUGUGCCCAAGUAUGCAACUCAGGUAUAUCCGUUCACAGAUCAAGCAUAGGUGCAACAUAAAAAGGCUCAUGAGCACCACAAAGUCUGAGCGACUCAGCAGGAACCUAGCGGAAUCAAUCAACCACACACGCCUAGAUGAACAUAAUCAACAUCAACAUCAGUUGCGUCUCAAAUCGGCAGAUCUACCAGAUAAUCCAGGCAUAACCGUGAGGGAUUUCACGACAACGGAGCCAAAUCAACAGCAAUCGAUCAACAAACCUAUCGUCUCGAACUAGUACUGCUAACACGGAACGAGCGGAUCAACUAGAACACCUCUAAUCGGCAGAUCUACCGGAUAAUCCAAAUCGAGAGGGAUUUCGCGACAACCGACUACGGGGCAGAUCAACAGCAACAUAAUCAACGAUAAUAGCGAGGGGCGCGGUGGGGCGCGGUCUGAAAUUCACGUACCUUGGAGGUGGGCGAGAAGGCCUUGGCUUCGAUUCGAUCGG
rnacentral:rRNA from 1 species